CGACAGCGACGUCCGGGUCCUUGGAGCAACACAGGCGGAUGACAACGGAAGUAGGAACGUCCAGAGAAGCGCCCGCCAUGGGCAGACGUCAUUGGCCCACAUAGCAGCUGCAAGAGAAACUCCGAGGCUGACAGCCCACAGUAAGUCUUCGAUGCUGGGCAGUUUGCAGAGCCACUUUUCACUCUGCACCUGAAGACGGCCAGCAAACAAGCACGGAGAAAAGCAAGAACAACUCAACAUGAACUCACUAAAGACCAACAAAGACCAGAUGACAGAGACAAAUGAAGAGAAGAAAUGGGGAGUAAAAGAAGAGAUAGAAGGGAGAGACAACGAAAAGAGCGAUAACGAGUAUCUGUCCAAAGAGAAGAAUGAAAGUAAGAAGCAAAAAAAGAAGCGUGAGGAGAAAGAGAAGAAAGAAAAAAAAGAGCGUGAAAGGAGAGAAAAGAAGGAAAAGAAAGACUGGGAAAAGAAAGAAAAAAAGGACAAGAAGGAGCAAUAUAAGAAGGAGAAGAAAGAAAGGAAGGCGCUUGAGAGGAAAGCAAAAGAACUCAAACGAAAGAAGAAGAGAGA